rnacentral:misc_RNA from 1 species
CAGAGUUAUCUAACUCCCAAACCCAUGUGAACUUACCAUUUGUUGCCUCGGCAGAGCCUACCCGGUAACUGUUCGGAGAAGCUACCCUGUAGCUACCCUGUAACGGCCUACCCUGUAACGUCCUGCCGGUGGACUUUUAAACUCUUGUUAUUUUAUAGUAAUCUGAGUCAACUAUAAAUAAGUUA